rnacentral:rRNA from 1 species
CCUACGGGGGGCAGCAGUGGGGAAUAUUGGACAAUGGGGGGAACCCUGAUCCAGCGACGCCGCGUGAGUGAAGAAGUAUUUCGGUAUGUAAAGCUCUAUCAGCAGGGAAGAAAGAAAUGACGGUACCUGACUAAGAAGCUCCGGCUAACUACGUGCCAGCAGCCGCGGUACUACGUAGGGGGCAAGCGUUAUCCGGAUUUACUGGGUGUAAAGGGAGCGUAGACGGCGAUGCAAGUCUGAAGUGAAAGGCGGGGGCCCAACCCCCGGACUGCUUUGGAAACUGUAUGGCUGGAGUGCAGGAGAGGUAAGUAGAAUUCCUGGUGUAGCGGUGAAAUGCGUAGAUAUUAGGAGGAACACCAGUGGCGAAGGCGGCUUACUGGACUGUAACUGACGUUGAGGCUCGAAAGCGUGGGGAGCAAACAGGAUUAGAUACCCGAGUAGUC